rnacentral:rRNA from 1 species
GAGUUUGAUCCUGGCUCAGAUUGAACGCUGGCGGCAUGCCUUACACAUGCAAGUCGAACGGCAGCAUGAUCUAGCUUGCUAGAUUGAUGGCGAGUGGCGAACGGGUGAGUAAUACAUCGGAACGUGCCCUGUAGUGGGGGAUAACUAGUCGAAAGAUUAGCUAAUACCGCAUACGACCUGAGGGUGAAAGUGGGGGACCGCAAGGCCUCAUGCUAUAGGAGCGGCCGAUGUCUGAUUAGCUAGUUGGUGGGGUAAAGGCCCACCAAGGCGACGAUCAGUAGCUGGUCUGAGAGGACGAUCAGCCACACUGGGACUGAGACACGGCCCAGACUCCUACGGGAGGCAGCAGUGGGAAUUUGGACAAUGGGCGAAAGCCUGAUCCAGCAAUGCCGCGUGUGUGAAGAAGGCCUCGG